AAUCUUCGGAGGAAGAGGACAGUGACUGAGCGGCGGACGGGUGAGUAACGCGUGGGCAACCUGCCUCAUACAGGGGGAUAACAGUUAGAAAUGACUGCUAAUACCGCAUAAGCGCACAGGACCGCAUGGUGUAGUGUGAAAAACUCCGGUGGUAUGAGAUGGACCCGCGUCUGAUUAGGUAGUUGGUGGGGUAAAGGCCUACCAAGCCGACGAUCAGUAGCCGACCUGAGAGGGUGACCGGCCACAUUGGGACUGAGACACGGCCCAAACUCC
rnacentral:rRNA from 1 species